AAGAGUUGCAAAACUCCCUUUACACCAUCGCGAACGUUACCUGUAACCGUUGCCUCGGCGGCGCGGGCCCUUCUGGGGCUGGCCCGCCGGCGGUACCUUAAACUCUGUUUUUUAUAGGCCUCUCUGAGUAACUUAUCAAAUAAGUCA
rnacentral:misc_RNA from 1 species